rnacentral:rRNA from 1 species
UUGGUCAUUUAGAGGAAGUAAAAGUCGUAACAAGGUUUCCGUAGGUGAACCUGCGGAAGGAUCAUUAUCGAAUAAAACUUGAACAGGUUGUAUUGCUGGCUCCCUUGGGCAUGUGCACGCUUGUUCAUCUUUAUUUAUUUCUCCACUGUGCACCAACUGUGGGUCUAUUCAGGUKCAUGUUUUUACAAUCUCUUGAUGUGUUUGGAAUUGCAAAUAUAUAUAUGUAUACAACUUUCAGCAACGGAUCUCUUGGCUCUCGCAUCGAUGAAGAACGCAGCGAAAUGCGAUAAGUAAUGUGAAUUGCAGAAUUCAGUGAAUCAUCGAAUCUUUGAACGCAUCUUGCGCUCCUUGGUAUUCCGAGGAGCAUGCCUGUUUGAGUGUCAUCAAUUUCUCAACCACUUUAGAUGUGGAAUUGGAUGUGGGUUUUGCAGGCCCCCCUAAUGUAAGGGGUCUGCUUUCCUCAAAUAAAUUAGUGGUUUCUCUGCUGCUGCUUACAGGUGUGAUAACUAUCUAUGCCUUGUGUAAAAAUGCUGCAUGAGCUGCUUCAAACUCAUUGUUGACCUAUUUGACCUCAAAUCAGGUAGGACUACCCGCUGAACUUAAGCAUAUCAAUAAGCGGAGGA